rnacentral:rRNA from 1 species
UUAACCUUCGGGAGGGCGCUUACCACUUUGUGAUUCAUGACUGGGGUGAAGUCGUAACAAGGUAACCGUAGGGGAACCUGCGGUUGGAUCACCUCCUUACCUUAAAGAACCUGCCUUUGUAGUGCUCACACAGAUUGUCUGAUGAA